UACGUAGGGGGCUAGCGUUGUCCGGAAUCAUUGGGCGUAAAGCGCGUGUAGGCGGCUCGGUAAGUCCGCUCUGAAAGUCGGGGGCUCAACCCUCGGAUGCGGGUGGAUACUGUCGAGCUUGAGUGCGGAAGAGGCGAGUGGAAUUCCUGGUGUAGCGGUGAAAUGCGCAGAUAUCAGGAGGAACACCAAUGGCGAAGGCAGCUCGCUGGGACGUGACUGACGCUGAGACGCGAAAGCGUGGGGAGCGAACAGG
rnacentral:rRNA from 1 species